rnacentral:rRNA from 1 species
AACGAGCGCAACCCUCGACCUUAGUUGCCAGCAUUCAGUUGGGCACUCUAAGGUGACUGCCGGCUAAAAGUCGGAGGAAGUGGGGAUGACGUCAAAUCAUCAUGCCCCUUAUGACCUGGGCUACACACGUGCUACAAUGGGCGGUACAAAGGGUCGCGAACCCGCGAGGGGGAGCCAAUCCCAAAAAGCCGCUCUCAGUUCGGAUUGCAGGCUGCAACUCGCCUGCAUGAAGCCGGAAUCGCUAGUAAUCGCGGAUCAGCAUGCCGCGGUCGAAUACGUUCCCGGGCCUU